rnacentral:rRNA from 1 species
CGCGAUUCGCCCUUGGUGCAGCAGGCGCGAAAACUUUACAAUGCGGGAAACCGUGAUAAGGGGACACCGAGUGCCAGCAUCAUAUGCUGGCUGUCCAGGUGUGUAAAAUACACCUGUUAGCAAGGGCCGGGCAAGACCGGUGCCAGCCGCCGCGGUAACACCGGCGGCCCGAGUGGUGAUCGUGAUUAUUGGGUCUAAAGGGUCCGUAGCCGGUUUGGUCAGUCCUCCGGGAAAUCUGAUAGCUUAACUAUUAGGCUUUCGGAGGAUACUGCCAGACUUGGAACCGGGAGAGGUAAGAGGUACUACAGGGGUAGGAGUGAAAUCUUGUAAUCCCUGUGGGACCACCUGUGGCGAAGGCGUCUUACCAGAACGGGUUCGACGGUGAGGGACGAAAGCUGGGGGCACGAACCGGAUUAGAUACCCGGGUAGUCCCAGCCGUAAACGAUGCUCGCUAGGUGUCAGGCAUGGCGCGACCGUGUCUGGUGCCGCAGGGAAGCCGUGAAGCGAGCCACCUGGGAAGUACGGCCGCAAGGCUGAAACUUAAAGGAAUUGGCGGGGGAGCAC